CUGGCAUACAUGUGUGUGCGUUUUUAUGUGUGUGUGCAUGUGUUGUUGACCGUAUUUGUGUGUGUACGUGUCUUUGUGUGCUCAUGCUGGUGCGUGUGUUGCACAUUGUAAUACGUGUCAUUGGCCAGAUUGCCAUAGUUGGCAUCCUUCUCAGUGUCACAAUGGGUGGACAUAUAAGUGCACGAUCUGCAACUGCAUUGAUGCCAUGUGCUAAAUGUUGCAUAUUCGGUGAAAAUUAAUAUGAAUGCAUAUGGUGUGAAAUCAGCAUUUACGUAGGUGUGUGUUACUGCAACACGCAGUGCGUGUGCGCACAUGCGUGUGCUCGUGCAUGCGUGUUCACAUGCUUUGUCAUACUCACUGCAGUGUAUACGGUGCGUAAAUUAAUGUAUGCCAUACGAUAAUUUAUGUAUGGCUUACAUGUGAAGGUUUGGAUGCUUUCAUCGCAAUGGCCCGUAUUGUGCGUCUGUUUGGUGUGCGUUGUAAGAGAAUAUCACAUUAUAUAUUCAGCAUUGCAAUGCGGGUCAGUGUAUCGUGAAAGCGAAGAGAAAUUAAUCUUGGAAAAAUAAAACAAAUCAUUUUAACAUUUUACUCGCAUGGAAACUGCGUGAUAUAUUUUCUGUCCGUCUUGCGAUUGAAAUCUGCUGGAGAACAAUUGGAUCGUGAGAUGGCGGCGUGUUGGGGAGGCCUUCAUCCAGCAGUUGAUUGAGCAUGGCUUACGAUGAUUACAAUUUAGUAUAACUCUACAUGGCUUCACAUUUUUUUCCAUCUGUUCAUUUAAAUCGACACCGAAAUGUCACCACGCAAUUUUUUUACGUAUUGUUUCAAAAGAAUAAGCCAAUAUAUUAGUGUUAAAACAGAAUAUUGAUUAUGAAAUAUCAAACCAAAAUGGACAGAUGAACCAACUAAUGCCUGUGCCAAAAAUAAUCGCUUUGAAAAUUGAACUCGAGAAAUGUGCAUAUUAAACACGUAAACUCCUUCACAUUAUUUUAUUCACAAGCUUAUGAUAACCCAACAAUAGUCCAUCGCCAUUGUCCGUUAUUUAACCAGGAUAUAGAAUAAUGAACCUAUUGAGACACAUGAACAGUAAUGGCUCUUUUGUAAAGGAGACCUGGGCGGUUAAUGUCCGCAUAGCGACAGAUUUUGCAAAAUAUAUAAAAAAUAUAAUUCCGCUACUACAUGUAUAUAUAGCCUAUGGCCAGGGUGUGGGCAAAUGCACAUGUAUACAUAUAUAUAAAAAAAUACAUAUAUGCACAUGCAUAAUGUAUACAAUGUACAUGUUCUGUAUACUGGGAACGGUGGUGUAUCGGUUCUCACCGUUGCGUUACAAUCCCAAGUGGGCGGCAAUCAAUCUCCGGCCAUGCACAACAUUUUGUCAUUGCUAAAUCUGAAUCUGGUACUGGGUUCCCUUUAGGUCAGCUCAGGUCCGAAACAGGUAGCGGUUAUAAACAGUGAUUCAGUUUUAUUGUCAAUCAGGGGGAGACAAUGGUGGCUGGGCGUGGUGUGUGAGCCACGCUACCCCCCUUCCCCAAUGCGCCACACCGGACUGAGUAGGUGCUCGCUGACAGCACAAGCACCGACCGACGGGCCCGCGUGACCAAAUGCGGCAUCUUUGUCUCGCCGUGGAGGCUGUCGGGUCACCACGGCGGACGGUCACCCACUUCAGGACACACGCCAAGAGAACAAGAAAGGCUGAUCUUAAUCUUAUUUUCCAAAGCUCUCCGGCCUUCCCUCCAUCACGGUGGCCGGCGGCAGCUGGUGUUGUGAAUCAGGCCGGUGGCGCAGCCCCUAGACACACGGCUGUUUCACUACAGCAGGGUCGCAUGCCACCACCGCCACCACCGCCGUGUAUUGAACAAAAAGUCCCGGAGACACUGCCCCAUUGGUGACGGGCACCACCUUGGGCUUGGGUUACCGCCAUAUAGUGAUGCUACGGUACGUCGUACGAAAUAAGAUCCAUGAGAAUCGUAUCGUCCGAUGCGCAAACUAUUGCAUUGUUGAUUUGAAGCUUUCGUGACUGCAGGAAUCCAUACUCUUUGGUUCUUUCGGUAAAGUCACGUAGGUAUGACUUUACCGAAAGAACCAAAGAGUAUUGUAUUGUUUUGAAACAGUUCAUGUCGUGACAAAAUAUUUCUGAAAUUAUAAUUAAAAUUCACUUAUAAUUGUUAAUUUAUAAAGGCGCAUUAAAGGCCUCAGCAACUUAAAGCGCCUUACUUCGCAUCUCAUCUUGAACAUUUUAAUGGGACCCCCACCUCCCUCACCCCCAGUGGCAGCUGUCUGUAUGCAGCACAAGGCGAUUGUACUGGCCCGCAAGUGGGCCUUUCUCUGCCAGUAGGAGUGUGAUGUUUGCUGUUGUGUGUAAUCCCAAUUGUUUUCUCUUCUUGCAUAUGACGGCGAUGUGGUCAGGAAGCUAGAUGAAAAUGUCGAUGUCUGCUGCUGGCCACGACGAGAGGGCUUCAGUAGAAAGAGAGGAGUUCGUGUCGUGUUGCUGUUCUUCCUCCGUUGUGGUUCACUGUACUGUAUGGUCAAUGUCGUAAACACACUUGAGUAAAUUUCAUGUAUAUUUUGUAAGGCGUGAACCCCAAUGGUAAUGUGUUAUUUUAAUAAAUAGCUUUAAUCCCAUUCAA